UGCAGGCCUGAUUCAGGGUUAGCUUCUUAUUCGAUGGAAGACUCGCUUUGAGCUUCAGUUGCCGCCAUAAGAAUGAGUGUAUUUAUGCUAUUUGCCAUGCUGUGGGUGGUCCACGGACUGCCUGCACAGAACCUUAUAUGUGUGAAGAAUCAGCAAGUGUUAAUUCCUGUCACACUACCUAUCAUGACGCCUGGUGUGGCUUCACCUAACUUGAUCGCACCUCUUUGGGGAACGGUUCCACUUGUGGUUCUACCUGUAGGUGGCCAAUGUUACGGAAAGGGUUUAGAAGACAGCAGCAGUGGGAGCGGAGGUGAAACAGAGGAAACAAAAAGAAUGGACGAAAGAAGAGAGGAAAGGAAAAUGAAUAGAACUGACGAAAGAGAAGAGGAAAGGAAAAUGAAUAGAACUGACGAAAGAGAAGAGGAAAGGAAAAUGAAUAGA
rnacentral:lncRNA from 1 species